UACGGAAGGCAGCAGUGGGGAAUAUUGCACAAUGGGCGCAAGCCUGAUGCAGCCAUGCCGCGUGUAUGAAGAAGGCCUUCGGGUUGUAAAGUACUUUCAGUCGUGAGGAAGGUGUUAAGGUUAAUAACCUUAGCAAUUGACGUUAGCGACAGAAGAAGCACCGGCUAACUCCGUGCCAGCAGCCGCGGUAAUACGGAGGGUGCGAGCGUUAAUCGGAAUUACUGGGCGUAAAGGGCACGCAGGCGGUUAAUUAAGUUGGAUGUGAAAUCCCCGGGCUUAACCUGGGAAUGGCAUUCAAGACUGGUUAGCUAGAGUCUUGUAGAGGGGGUAGAAUUCCGAUGUGUAGCGGUGAAAUGCGUAGAGAUGUGGAGGAAUACCGGUGGCGAAGGCGGCCCCUGGCAAAGACUGACGCUCAUGUGCGAAAGCGUGGGGAGCAAAC
rnacentral:rRNA from 1 species